AGCAGCCGCGGUAAUUCCAGCUCCAAUAGCGUAUAUUAAAGUUGUUGCAGUUAAAAAGCUCGUAGUUGAAUUUCGGGGUCAGUAGGUUGGUCAUGCCACCGGUAUGUACUGGUCCCACUGAUUCCUCCUUCCUGAUGAACUGUAAUGCCAUUAAUUUGGUGUUGCAGGGAAUCUGGACUGUUACUUUGAAAAAUUAGAGUGUUUAAAGCAGGCUAACGCCUGAAUACAUUAGCAUGGAAUAAUGAAAUAGGACGUUCGAUCCUAUUUUGUUGGUUUCUAGGAUUGACGUAAUGAUUAAUAGGGAUAGUUGGGGGCAUUAGUAUUCAAUUGUCAGAGGUGAAAUUCUUGGAUUUAUUGAAGACUAACUACUGCGAAAGCAUUUGCCAAGGAUGUUUUCAUUAAUCAAGAACGAAAGUUAGGGGAUCGAAGACGAUCAGAUACCGUCGUAGU
rnacentral:rRNA from 1 species